rnacentral:lncRNA from 1 species
AUGGGAUUCUUCUAAUGGAUGGUGAAAUAGUCUGCUUGAAAUAGUCUUGUAAAAAUUAUAAGCAAGUACUAUUUGCAUUCUCUCCUAACAGAUGUGGUCUACUUGCCAAUUAAUGAUAGAGUUAAAAUCAUCUUGAAGAAGCAAAGAAUGAGUGAACUCUCCAGAUUUUCAAAAGGCUUCUUCUUGACAAGCACCAAAUGAAUACUUCCCCCUAGUUUCUAAUCGAAAGACAGAACAGAUUUUUGUUACAGUGAUUAUUAAAACAAUUGCCACCUUCUGGUGUAAAGCGAUGUCAACAAUGAACAAUCAAGUAAUGCCCUUUGCUUUAGGUACAGUCAAGCGCUCAAAGCAACUAGAAACAAGUCUGCAGGAGGCCAAAUUUUUUCACAUCUGUGAGUUGGACUGGGGUUGGGGGCACACAGAGGAAGAGCAAAGAAGUUCAAAGGGCAUUUGUUCUUUUCCAGCGGUAGGUCUUAAGCAAGAUGAUAAAGGAUGCCUUGGAAACUCAGGCUUUCGUUAGGGAGCAGGUGAAGACAUUUACAAAGCAGGAGCAGACCUAGGGUUCUUGAAGAACAGAGGAUUUGAAAAACAACUUUUCUGACCAAGGGAGUGGCUGCAGCCUGCUGAUCCCACACACCCUGAGCAAUGAUUCUGAGCCCGAGUGACCGUCUCGUCUCCCUCCCCUUGGAUGCUUUGCAUGGACACUUGCCAUCUCUGUGUAUCAAAUGAACACUGCCCAACCACAGCUGAGAAGCGUCUUUCGCCGCUGCUUUUACUAAUAAAAAACAGGCCGUGUCUACA